rnacentral:sRNA from 1 species
GAGAGCUGCGGGAGGGUGACAUGAUCUCAAUAAAAGGAAUGCUCUGGCUGCUGGGUAGAGAAGAAAGUGAGGACAUGCUGCUGCUGAAGAAACACACGGAGGACAUCAGCAGCGUCUACGAGAUCCGCGAGAGGCUCGGCUCGGGUGCCUUCUCCGAGGUGGUGCUGGCCCAGGAGCGGGGCUCCGCACACCUCGUGGCCCUCAAGUGCAUCCCCAAGAAGGCCCUCCGGGGCAAGGAGGCCCUGGUGGAGAACGAGAUCGCAGUGCUCCGUAGGAUCAGUCACCCCAACAUCGUCGCUCUGGAGGAUGUCCACGAGAGCCCUUCCCACCUCUACCUGGCCAUGGAACUGUGAGGAGGGCCUGGGCAGGCUGUGGGAGCCGGGGAGGGACUGAGCAGUGAGUGGGGCUGAAGGCCAGGCUGAGUGCCUGGGUCAGCCAAACCCCUGGCACCCCCAGGGUGACGGGUGGCGAGCUGUUUGACCGCAUCAUGGAGCGCGGCUCCUACACAGAGAAGGAUGCCAGCCAUCUGGUGGGUCAGGUCCUCGGCGCCGUUUCCUACCUGCACAGCCUGGGGAUCGUGCACCGGGACCUCAAGGUGCCUGGCUGGGGCCUCUGCACCCCACCCUCCCACCUGCCCACCUGGCCCUGCUUUUGUUUUCCCGGGAGCACGGCUGGGGCCUUUCUUGAUCUCCCGCUUCACCAAGGCUCUGGGGAACCUGAGAGUGCCUAGUCCCCAUCCUGUCCCAGCACCGGCACCGCGUCAGGACUGACCUGGCCCUUUUCCUGGUGUCCGUGUGUCACAGCCCGAAAACCUCCUGUAUGCCACGCCCUUUGAGGACUCGAAGAUCAUGGUCUCUGACUUUGGACUCUCCAAAAUCCAGGCUGGCAACAUGCUAGGCACCGCCUGUGGGACCCCUGGAUAUGUGGGUGAGGGACGACACCCUGAGGCUUGCUGGGAGUGGGGUGGCCUGGGGGAC